CUUGUAGUGUUCAAUAUUGUCUAUCCUUAGUGCGUUCACACAAAAUCAUAUCAUACUAUCUCAGUGUCAUAGCAUUAAUACAUUAUGCAUAAGUAGCGUAUUUUAGUCUCCACACCAAGUGCUGUGGCCUGUUGUGUUAGGAUGUGCUAGUACAGUGUUUUUCAACCUUUUUUGCGUCAAGGCACACUUAAGACACAGAAAAAAUCUCACGGCACACCAACAACCGGAAAUGAUAUGAAAAUCAAACCCAUACAUAGUUUCAGCAUGAGCAUAAUAUACUCUAAGAAAUCAGGGAAACGCGUGUUCUAUUUGUUAUGUUUUAUUAAACUUAACAUCAUCCUAAUGCCAAGAUGGCACAGGCUUUAUGCCCAGGUACAGAUAAUUUUGGACAGGCUGCAUUACCGCCACACACCUGUAGAACAAAAGACAUGCAAUUAGAACAACAACUGUCAUGGUAUAUGAACAUCCUUAAGUACUAGCUCCAUCCACAAAGCGCACGUUAGCCAGGAGUUGGGCAUGGCCACUUAUAUCUGUCGACUCAUCGAGUUGCAAAGCAAAUUUCCCGCUGCAGCGUAUCUUCUCCAAAACAAUGCUCUCGAUGUCAGCAGACAUGUCAUCAAUACGUCUCGCUAUGCUGUUAUCUGAGAGGGGAACUUUAGCAAUCUCCUUCACUGCAUCUGGGCCUAGCAUGACAUUGACAAUGGCUUUGCAGGCGGG